AGUCAGAGCCCCUUGGUUUUUCAGUCAAAUCCACCCAUCUUUUUUAUACAGUUUAUGCUUUAAACACUAGUAUCAAUAUCAGCUUACAAAGACUUUAAGUUCCUGGGUUGUUGUGGAAAAUGUUAUUUUCCAAAUGGUGAAAAAGGAGACCGAUGGUGACUUUGUAACACUACCCGUGCUGCACCUGCGCUGGUCAUCGGUGGGGAACACGAUCUGCUGUGGUGAAAAGAAAACAACAGAACACACAGAGCACACACAGAGGGAAAGAAACAACAAAGCUAGCUCCUCUGAGGCCUCUAAGUCUGAUGUUUAAAUGUUGUCUUUUUUCUAACAGGAAGAAAUCAAUAGGUCCCGAGGCGAGACAGACACACGGUGACUGCUUAUAUACGAGCGGAGAGAACGGAGGACGGAGAUGGAAAUGGAGGAAAAACAGAAGGAGCGAGCAGAAAUUAACGGCGAAGACGCUGGCACCCGUGGCACCUCGGCUUAACUCUGGGAAACAGUCUGUUUUUACUGGAAACAGCCCCCCCCCCUUGUCUUCCGGCGCGGCCGUUCAGAGCAGCGAUCAACACUUUCAGCUUUAGACACAACCCGCCAUCCAAACUAUGCCUACGUGAAGCAUAACCUACCCUGAAGGCUUGUCACCUAAAGAAGAAGCAUGACAAGUUGACAGCGGCGAGAUGAGAAACAAGCAGCUUGACCCAGGGCAAGAAGCCCACUAUUAAUUAUACAGGCACUUGCACGCGACAGCCACCUGACACGUCAAAAAUUACUUCUACAUGUCCACAAGAUGUCAUUAAUUACACCAGCACAAGGGGGGAUGCUGUUGAACUAGUGCUAAUGACGACAGAGUAAUUUAAGAAAUCAGCGCCGCCUGCAUUACUGAAACGAUGUCAUUACCUCAUCAAGCGUCGCCUUUAGUUUUGGACGUCUGCUGGCUACUCUUUAAUCUCAGAGGCACAUGCAAAGUAUUAAGUUAUGUGUGAGAGGCUGCUUGGAACAACUUGGGCAAAAUUAAACGUUGUGCAUGUCGCCCUGAUCGAGGCUGCCUACCAGCGACCUGAAGUUGGUGCGUGCGUUUCAUGUCAAACACAUAAUUUAAAGACUCGGCUCAAGCUGGAGAGGGUACUCUUGAUACAAAAAUGCUACACAGUGUUAAAGUUGCCAUAGCCCAUUUCAACUAUAGUAACUGUCAGGUUCACACCUUCCUUCUUGGACUCUACUAUUCAUUAUCCUGGGCCUUCUUGCACCAGUGGAUCCGUGCAUGAUGUCUGACACGAGCUCCGCUCACUUUAAGCCAGCUUGCUUCUAAUCAGCUGAGCGGCACAAACAGAAGGUUUGAACAGCAGCUGGUUGGAGUUGCUAUGGUGUUCACAUGGGCAGAGGCUGGCAGUGGGCAGGCUCAGAGUUAAACUUAUCUGAACUUUAAAGUUAAAACUGGUCACAACUCUUUUCCUUAAUGGUGGGUUUUAACACCUGAGGAUAAAUCAAAGACGUGGAUUGCCGACCAUACGAAUGAUUUCCGGGUUUAACUUGUGAUGCAAACCCACCCAUAUGGAAAAGAAAUAGUAAAAACCUAUAUGAUUCACUCAUGAAA